AAACAAGAAAACAGUGAGUCUAACCUAGUCAUUCUAGAAUUGGGAGGUAAUAGAAAAGAGAGAAAUGGGAAAGUUGCUCAAAUGCAAGUCCAGUGAAUCAGAGAGAAAAGGCUCAAAGCAGCAGAACAAAGCUUCAAUAAAGAGAUAUUGUGACUUGGAGAGAUGGCCUUUUGUCCUUUGUUCUAUUACCAGUCAGAGGAUGGGGAGCACACCCGAGCCUGAGACAACAGCUCUGCUAAGUGCCCUUGAGAGGGCACGGUGGGGUCAGCACCAAAGUCAGACCACUAAAGAGAAAAAGAGAGAAAGACAGGAUUGCAGAGGAGAAAUGAGAAUGGCAGAAAAAAUAAUUUUUUAAGCCAAAAGGAAUCAGAGAAGAGCAGAAGUGCCUCUAGGAUAAAGCGUAGCAGGCAGUUAGGGAAAAAGGGCUGUUAACUACCUUGAAGCUCUGACUACAUUAGAAAGCCUCGCAAGACAGUCGUUGCUUGCACGGGCAGGUAGAGAACUUUUCCUGUCCAUUGUUCUUCUGAAUUAUAAAUCACUGACCUCUUUAUGAUUUCUAAAGGGAAAAUGACUUCAAGCUUCUUAGAGUUCCCCUAAGGCAUUCUCUAUAUUCAAUAUAAUAUGGGAAGCCCUGGGUUUGUCUUUGUAUGUUUCAUCUGCAGUGACCUGAAAUCUUCAUAACCCUCUUCCUUUCUCCACUUAUCAACUAAGGGGUGGUUGGCAAUAAGGAUGGGUGGGAGAGAAAAAAAAACAGAAUUUGAGGAGGAGAGCAUUUAAACCAUCAGACUGUGUGUUCUGUGACAUCAAAGACUGGCAACAUUCUAAAGGAAAAGCAGCUGUGAAGUCAUAAUUAUGUUCACUUCCCACUGGCAACUGGCAAGCCCUUUAUUUUUGUGCAUUCGGAACUCACCAAGAAUAAAUAAAGUCCAUUCCCUCCUUGAGGGGCUAUUCUGCCAUUCCAUCUAGGAUUUAAAAGUUUGCCAAUUCCUAAAACAUCUAUUGUUAUCAAUAGUCUUGUGUCUUUCACAAAGCGGACUUUACAAAAUAAGGAUAGGCGGAGUGACCCAGCAAUCAUAUGGACACCAUCCAUUCCAGUGACACUCAAACUUCAGCGUGCAUCAGAAUCCCUGCAAGGCUUGCUAAGACACAGACUGCUGCGCCUACCUCAGAGUUCCUGAUUCAUCAAGCUUGAAAUUUCUUCAUUUCAGUAAUUGGCACAUCUUUGAAGCAGCUGUCCAGUGGUUCUUGGAGCCUCACUGCUAAACCGUCAGUAAGAAUCCUUCCUGAGCUCUUAGGAUCAAGAUGAUCCUCAGGAUGCG
rnacentral:lncRNA from 1 species